rnacentral:lncRNA from 1 species
GACACCAUAGAGGUGGGCCUUUGGCGAGUCACAGGCGCGGGUGUUCGGCUACGUCACUGGGGCGCUACGGUGCCUGGAGCUGGGCAGUCUUCUCGUCAGAGUGGGGACUGGUAAGAGCGACCUCACCGCCAGGUCCUGUGUGUUGCCGGCUGAAGAAGGGUAGCUGAAAAAUUCAGACCCAGCACAGUGUUUAUGUUGGUCAAAAAUAGAAAACUAUGUCUGCCGCGGCCGAGGCAGGAGGACCCUUCAGGCCAAGAGCAGCCUAGCAACAUGGCGCAACCCCAUCUCUGUAGUCCUACCUCAGCCCCCCAGCUACUUGAACCCAAAGGUUCAAGGCUCCAGUGAGCUAUGAUCCCACCACAGCAUUCCAGCCUGCGAGAUUGAGAUGAUGAUUAUUCCCCACCUUCUAAGAGACAAAGACCAACGAUCCACCACAGCCACCAGUCCCAGAACCCGCCAAUGCUGGGGAAUGGAAAAUGAGGGAGUUCAACUCUGGCCCUCACAAUCCAGUGGAGGAGACGAAACUCAUCUGCCUCUGUCCCUCUGGGCACGCCUCAUGCCAGGUGCAUCUGUGGACAGGGGCCAUGCUCCUGGGCUUCCAAAGUUGGAGAAAGCUGCCAGGCUCAGGUCUGAAGGCCAGAAUUCUACAGUAAGUCCUACUGAGUCAAGGUGGGAGCAGGGUCGGUGGCUUCCGAGGCUCUGCGGGAGAAUCCGUUUCCUGGCCGUAGAGGUGGCCUGCACUCCUCAGCUUGUGCUGCCCGUCUCGAAUGACUGGAGUUUCCUGCUUCUGUCACUACACCUCCCACCCUCUCCAUCACCUGCUCUGCUCUUAUAAGGAUCCGAAGAAAUGGAAUCAUCGUAUCGCUGAUCUGCGUAAACAAAUUGAAGAAUUGUCUGAAAGAAAAUAUGACAUGAACUUAUGAAUUCAACAGGUAAAGAUUUACAACUUGAUAAAUCAACUUUGUGAGCUCGAGCUGUAAAAGCCAAAGGUCCAGUGAUGAUCCCAUACCCUUUUGUCCAGUCUCAUGUUGAAGAUUUUUAUGUAGAAGGCCUUCCCAAAGGAAUUUUUUUUUUUUUUUUGAGAUGGAGUUUUCACUCUUAUCGCCCAGGCUGGGGUGCAAUGGCGCAACCUUGCUGGUCACUGCAACCUCUGCCUCCUGGGUUCAAGAAAUUCUCUUGCCUUAGCCUCCCAAGUUGCUGGGAUUACAGGUGCCCACCACCACACCAGGCUAAUUUUUGUAUUUUUAGUGGAGAUGGGGUUUCACCAUGUUGGCCGGGCCAGUCUCGAACUCCUGACGUCAAGUGAUCUUCCCGCCUCGACUCCUGACAUCAAGUGAUCUUCCCACCUCGGCCUCCAAGAGUGCUGAGAUUACAGAUGUGAACCCAUGCCUGGCCAGGAAUUUUGUUUUUUAGGAAGGCUUUCUACUAAUGGAAUUCCUGGCCUUGAGAGGAUGUUACUUUCGAAGGAAAGGAUUUUUUUGUUAUUAAAAGAGCCACCUAAGCUGAAGAUUCCCUUGAGAACAAGUACUGUCCUGCGGUUUCAUGGCCUUUCUUCCAUUUGUGGUUCUUGUGAAGUGGAAUUUAAAUGACAUCAAGAUGGAUAAACCCUAGUUUCCCAGUGCUGGAAUAUAGAAAAUGGAUGGACAACUGGACCUACCAUGAAAGACUUCUGAAUCCAGGAAGAGAAACUGACUGGGCAACAUGUUAUUCAGAGACAGCGUCUUGCUCUGUUGCU